rnacentral:sRNA from 1 species
CGAGAUAAUAACGGAUGCCCUAGGGAAAACCCUAAGAGGCAGUUUAUAUAAGCGAGAAAUGAAACAAAUAAGGAAACUAAAUAUAUAGCGAAUCUUCACGUCAUGAUCCCGCGACCGAAUGUGUCAUUAGCAUCUGACGGGCUGAAAUGAGCUUUCCAGUGAUCGAGUAUGUCAUUGAUUAAAGUGGGCUUCACGGGCUCCGCCUUGCGAUCGAGUGAGAUGCAGUGAAGUCGAGAUUAAAUGGUCCAGCGACCCUGUGAUCGAGUGCGAUUGAGUGGAUGUCAUGAGGUGGUGAUCGAGUGGUUGCUUCGGCUUCUAUUCCCUUCUUCGUCUUCAGCUUAUCUGGUUGAGUGCAGAACGAGCAGAUAGGCCUUCUGGUGAUCGAGUGGUUCUGAUGGGGUUUUUCCUCCUGCUUCGCGAUUGAGUGAGACUGAGCUGCUUGCUUCUCCGGGGUUGCGAUAGAGUGAUUUGCCCUGAGAGCGCUCCGAGGCUGCGAUAGAGUACUUUUGUUGAAGGCGUCAUUUGGCAUUCUGACUUCAUGUUCUGUUUUUCCUCUCUCUGAACUUCAAAAGCAUCCAAAGUACCUAAAAACAACCAAAUAUGCCAUGCACAUGCAAUCCUAAUGCAAAAUCGUCCUAAGUAUGUAAAACACACUAAAACGACUCCUAAUGAGAUGAAAUGUGGAUGAAACGAUGACAAAGUGGUGAAGAAUGAAUGCCUAAAUCAUGCAAAUUAUAGACAUAUCAACUCCGCCAAACUUAGUCUUUGCUUGCCUUCAAGCAAACAAGAAGACAUAAGCGGAAGGAGAGGUUUGAAGUUGGGGAUUCAGAACCAAAGCAUGAGAUAUGACAAUUAAGAUCAAUGUACCAGCUAACAGUUCUAAGAUGCGAGGUGAUCGACUUCUACUUAAAAACUUUACCAUGCUCUGUUAUGAUCCAAACCUACACUCAAAUGCACAAUGCGUCAAGAUCAACCAAUCCCUUUAACAUUCAUUAAGUUCAAAAACAUGAAUCAAGAUAUGCAUCGCUAGUGAACUCAUUUGGCUAAUGACAGGUUAUGAGACAAAGAUGGUCCCUUGUUAGUGGUUCAGAUUUUAAUAGCUGGGGACUCUCAAUGAAAAAGGACUGAGCUUUAGAAGAAUGCUAAAGGUAAGUGCCAACCUAUGCAUACAAGAAUAGCACCCCAUCUACCCAAUGAUAUAAACCGUGAAUAACAAGUAGAUGGUCCUAUCUCUAAACCCAAUGAUGAUCCUAAGUCUACCCUUUUGCACUAAAGGCAUAUUUCGAUUUUUUCUUGGAUCAAUGUUUCCUUUUCUUUUCUUUGGCUCUUGUUCUUUAGGAGAAGCUUUUCUUAAACUCUAUGAGUCUAGUCUAGUAAAUUGGGUUUUUCUUAAACUCUUAUGGCUCUUAUCAUUUUUUUCUUUUUCUGUUUUUGUUGCCAUCUAUUUUCUUAGAGCAUAUCUUAACAAUUUUAUGCUUCCCAAACAUUCACUAGACCACAAUAUGAUUUUCAGCUUCCUUCUCCUAAAGACUCUAACCCAUUUUUUUUUUUUCUUUUUCUUUUCACACUCAAUCUCAAUCCCCAAAUAAGUUCCCACCUAGUCCUACCAAGUCCGAUAACGCGGAUUGGAACUACAUGAGAUACUACUCUUGUCAGCUAAAACCUUACACGUUUCUACCUAGCUCAAUCCUGAAAAUAGGCCUCACAUGCUCUCACAAAAUAACAUGGCUUGAAAGAAGGGUUGGUUAAGGGUGGGGGAACUACUCCAAUAAUAGAAGCAGCUACUUGGAUUAACAAGAGUAGUGAAUAAGUGAAAGAAAAUCCAAAUAUGUAUUCUAUCCACGAGUUCAAAAACGAUGCAAACAUGAUAGUUAUAAGUCAUAUUCAAGUUCAAAUUGACAGGGAAAGGUGUCAUGACAUGCAUCGAGUGGUUUCUAGAACAUGGUGU